UCUUUGAGACUUUCUGGGAGCAGGAACAGAAGGAGAAAAAGCCAAAACAGGAAGGAAGAUGUCAGGAUUGAAAGAAGAAGGGAAGGCAGAAUCAGUAUAAGGCACUUGCACAGAUGUGGGAGAAGAGGGAGAGGAGAGAAGUAUGGGAGAAUCAGAAUCAUCAUCAUGUUCUCCAGAAGGAACAAAGGGAAAAGAUGAAGCAGAAGGAUGAGCAGAAG
rnacentral:lncRNA from 1 species